rnacentral:rRNA from 1 species
AUUGAACGCUGGCGGAAUGCUUUACACAUGCAAGUCGAACGGCAGCACGGGGGCAGCCCUGGUGGCGAGUGGCGAACGGGUGAGUAAUACAUCGGAACGUGCCCGGUCGUGGGGGAUAACGUAGCGAAAGUUACGCUAAUACCGCAUACGAUCUGAGGAUGAAAGCGGGGGACCUUCGGGCCUCGCGCGAUCGGAGCGGCCGAUGUCAGAUUAGGUAGUGGGUGGGGUAAAGGCCUACCAAGCCGACGAUCUGUAGCGGGUCUGAGUGGACGACCAGCCACACUGGAACUGAGACACGGCCCAGACUCCUACGGGAGGCAGCAGUGGGGAAUUUUGGACAAUGGGCGCAAGCCUGAUCCAGCCAUGCCGCGUGCAGGACGAAGGCCUUCGGGUUGUAAACUGCUUUUGUACGGAACGAAAAGGCUCUGGCUAAUACCUGGGGCUCAUGACGGUACCGUAAGAAUAAGCACCGGCUAUCUACGUG